CUUUUCUUCCGCUCAUUCUUUUCCUCCGCCGCCGCAAGCCUCCUUCUUCUUCCCCUUCUCUUCUUCUUCCUCACCCCGAGCUCCUCCAUUGCUGGCUCCCUCUCUCACCUGCUGCUCCCCACGCCGGCGACCACCCCACGCGCCUCCCUUUCCCCGCUCCGCCUCUCUCUUCCCCGGCGCCGCUCUCUCCUCCGGCCGCCUCCACCGCGCACGACCACGCGCGCCGCCCUGGUGCCGCUUCCUCCCGCGACCGUGCCGCCUGGCCGCGUCCGCCCCGCGCGCGCCUCCCCGUUGACCGCUCCGUCUCCCCUCUCCACCUUCACGCGUGCGCCACGCCGCCUCUCCCUGUUGUCCUCGCUCCCCGCGCGUCUCCACCUCGCCCGAGCUCCUCUGCGCCGGCGACCCCCCUGCGUGCGUGCUCACCAUCCACCACGGCGCCAAGCUCCCUGCUCCGCCUCCCCGUCGCCCAUGUUCGGCUCGCCGCCGCCUGCUGCCCCUGGCCAGCGCCGCCUCUUCCCGCCUGCCCGUGCCUCUCCACCACGCCGGCGCCGCCUGCCUUGCUCCCCUCGCGCCGCCUCCACCUCGCCGGCCCGCUCCGCCUCCCCUGCUCCAGCGCCGCCCAGCCGAGCCCCCUGCUGGCCCAUCCUCUCCAGCCUGCAGGCCCAGCUUGCCCAAGACCAGGCCGAGGCCCAUCUCCAAGCCCAGGCCCGUUGCCCAUUUCCCUUUCUCUUUUCUUUUCUGGUUUUCAUUAAAAUGUGUCCCUUACGUGUGGGCCCUGCUGGUCAGUGCCUUCGUGUCCUUGCUGUUGUACUGUUGUUGCCGCCGCUCCGCGUGUGCUUUGCCGUGCCGCUGCCCAAGUCCUUGCCUUGCGCACCGAGAGACCGAAGGACCUCCGAGACGGAGCCUUGAACGACUACGACCACGACGAUUGAACGACUACUUCGCCGCGACGACUACAUCGCCUACGUGAACAGCUACUUCGCCUACGACGACUACGUGUACGACUACCUCGACUACUUCCUCUACAUCGCGACGCCGCACGUGUCCAAGUCUUCGAUUCCUAUGACGACGACUACACUUGUGUUCUUCUUCCAGGAUUCUUGCUCAAUUCCGGGCAAUUGAGUACUCCAGGCAAGCAGCACUUCCUUGACCAUAUUGAUUAUACCUAUUGCUUAUCUCUCAGUCUUGCAUUAAGUUACGAUCUCAGUCUUGUCACGUUGCCUCUAGGUUGCAUAGCUUAUUAGUCAGCUCUACUUAUUGCCCUAUGUCUUGUUACUUGUCCUAUUACCAUGUCACAUGUUUGUUGUUGCCCUA